GACGAACGCUGGCGGCGUGCUUAACACAUGCAAGUCGAACGGUAAGGCCCUUCGGGGUACACGAGUGGCGAACGGGUGAGUAACACGUGGGUGAUCUGCCCUGCACUUCGGGAUAAGCCUGGGAAACUGGGUCUAUACCGGAUAGGACCACUGCCUGCAUGGGUGGUGGUGGAAAGCUUUUGCGGUGUGGGAUGGGCCCGCGGCCUAUCAGCUUGUUGGUGGGGUGAUGGCCUACCAAGGCGACGACGGGUAGCCGGCCUGAGAGGGUGACCGGCCACACUGGGACUGAGAUACGGCCCAGACUCCUACGGGAGGCAGCAGUGGGGAAUAUUGCACAAUGGGCGCAAGCCUGAUGCAGCGACGCCGCGUGAGGGAUGACGGCCGUCGGGUUGUAAACCUCUUUCAGCACCGACGAAGCGCAAGUGACGGUAGGUGCAGAAGAAGGACCGACCAACUACGUGCCAGCCGCCGCGGUAA
rnacentral:rRNA from 1 species